AUGGGUGCCAACUCGCUGCCGUCGCCGUCGUGCCCCGACGGCAGGAAGCGGCGCGUGUGCUACUACUACGACCCGGGCAUCUCCAACGUCGACUACGGCGAGGGACACUCCAUGGUGCCCCGCCGCGUCGCCAUGACCCACGGCCUCGUCGCCUCCUACGGCCUCCUCAACCACAUGACUCGCCUCCGCACCAGGCCGGCCAGCCCGGAGGAGCUCCUCGCGUUCCACGACCAGAAAUACGUCGACCUCCUCGGUAGGCUCACCCCCGCCGGGUACAUCAGCGACGCCGACCUCCGGCGGACAGCCGAGGAGCAUGGCAUCGGUCCCGUGCGCCGCUGGGACGGCACCUACACGAACGACAAUCCCGCCAUCGAAGGCCUCAUGGGGUACUGCCUGAGCUACGCCGGCGGGUCGCUGGCCGCGGCGCGCGCGCUCUGCAGGGGCGACCACGACGUCGCCAUCAACUGGUCCGGCGGCAUGCACCACGCGUGCCGGGGCCACGCCAACGGCUUCUGCUACGUCAACGACAUCGUGCUGGCCAUCAAGCAGCUCCUCGGCCGCUUCCCGCGCGUGCUGUACGUGGACAUCGACGCGCACCACGGGGACGGCGUGGAGAAGGCCUUCGUGGACUCCAACCAGGUGAUGACGCUGUCCUUCCACCAGUACGAAAGCCAGUUCUUCCCCGGCACCGGGAGCAUCGACGACGUUGGCGAGGGGGCCGGCAGGUACCACGCCCUCAACGUGCCGCUCAAGAAGGGCAUGGACGACCAGGGGUACCAUGAGCUGUUUAAGCCGAUCGUCGGCAAGGCCAUGCAGGUGUUCCAGCCGGACGCCGUGGUGCUGCAGUGCGGCGCCGACUCGCUCUCCGGCGACCGGCUCGCUGGCCUCGAGCUGUCGGUGGGCGGCCACGCGGAGUGCGUCAAGUACCUGCGGGGAUUCAACGCGCCGCUGCUCCUCCUCGGCGGCGGCGGCUACACCAUUAACCACGUCGCCUCCUGCUGGUGCUACGAGACGGCGGUCGCCGUGGGCAAGGAAGACGAGAUCGCCGACGAGAUACCACACCAUCCGUACGAUCACUACUACAGGAGCCAGGGUUACAAGCUCCAGUGCCGCACGGAGGCGCCCGGCAGCCGCAGCAGCGGGGAGAAUAAGGACGCGGCCGCCAUUAGGGUGAAAGCCCUGGAGCACCUCUCGGCGAUCAACUGCGCGCCGAGCAUACAGUUCCACGAGCCAUGCGCCGCGGCGGCCCAAGGCAUGGACGUCGACGACCUCUGCCACGACGACGACGAGGACGAUGAUGAAGAAGAAGAAGACCCCAUGGAGAGGCUGCACCGGCUGUGCGACAACGCGGACCUCGCCGGGUUUUUCGUGGAAUUGGGGCGGAAGCACAGUCUAUCGUCCUCUGCCAUGGGUUGA
rnacentral:rRNA from 1 species